GACGAACGCUGGCGGCGUGCUUAACACAUGCCAGUCGAACGAGUGGCGAACGGGUGAGUAAUGUAUGGGGAUCUGCCCGAUAGAGGGGGAUAACUACUGGAAACGGUUGCUAAUACCGCCUACUAUCGGAUGAACCCAUAUGGGAUUAGCUAGUAGGGGGGGUAAAGGCUCACCUAGGCGACGAUCUCUAGCUGGUAUGAGAGGAUGAUCAGCCACAUUGUGACUGAGACACGGCCCAGACUCCUACGGGAGGCAGCAGUGGGGAAUAUUGCACAAUGGGCGCAAGCCUGAUGCAGCCAUGCCGCGGGUAUGAAGAAGGCCUUAGGGUUGUAAAGUACUUUCAGCGGGGAGGCGUUACCCGCAGAAGAAGCACCGGCUAACGCCGUGCCAGCAGCCGCGGUAAUAC
rnacentral:rRNA from 1 species